ACAGUAUAUGUAUAAUGUGGUAUUACGAAGCAUAGAGCACACAACACCGAGUGGGUCCCCUUUCGUGAAUUCGGUUCGUUUGAUAUCAGCUAGCAGCUAGCCAGUCAGUCAGUCAGUCAGUCAGUCAUACGUACGUACAGCUGGUUGACAAACGUGACACAUACUCAACCCCUUUCAUCGAAUUUCCCCAUUAACGCUUUUGGCUUAACAGAAUCUCUCUUUAUUUAAUACCGUACACCGAUGGCGCUACUAUCAGUACCUAUUUACUUCCCUGCAGGCAAUUAUGAAUACUUGCAUUGACGUUGCCUUUAACGGUAAUACUGGAAUUGACAUUGGCGUCAGCGCUGGUGUGAAUAUGAUUUUCGAAUGUGGCACAGUGCGAAUUUAUGUGAUAUAUUGUGAAAAAUAUAAAUUGCAGAUCAGUCCCGUGAUAUUCUUCCAUUCUCACGGGUAUCGCCAGACGAGUGUCAAAGGUCAACUAAUUGCUGUGGUAUGAUGUGAACAGUGAGAGGCGCAGAGAAAGAACCCAUUCGAUAGGAAUCCAGUGCGCGGGAUACUAGCAUAAUUUUCUAAUUAACCGCUGCGAGAAUCACGGUUACAAUUUCGUAAGCAACGAAGCGACGCUCGGCAACUAUUAAUUAAAUGGGCGUACGCGGUUUGCCGGUGGCCCGAGGGUUGGGCUGCUGUGCCGCUGUAAUUGUGAACGAAACUAUGCAUAGGCGAGAGGGAGGAAAAGGGAGGAGAGCGAGAGAGAGAGAGAGAGAGAAAGACAGACAGAGAAGUUCGAUGGUCCAGUCUCUGUCUUUGUCUCACCAACACACGCGCCACAGGGACACCGUCGCUAUAGCCAGCACUUCCCCAUUCCUCCAACCCCUAACUUCACCGGUUUGUCCAAGCUUCUCUCGCUCUCUCUCUCUCUCUCUCUCUCUCUCUCUCUCUCUCCUCUCUUCUAUACCCUCUCUUUCAUUGUGCGCUUACACGCUUGGUGCACGUGCUAACUUUUCCUUUCCAGCCGUUGAUUUCAAUAUCGCCCAGUCUUGGCAUCUCUCACCAAUCGCCCUGCCAGGCGAGAGACGAGCUUUUUGGAUGAUCAAUGGUCAAUGGUCAACGGUCAAUGAGAGCAGCAGCCCAUUUCGGAUCGCUUCUCAACUAUUUCAAUCGCCUGUGAAUUACUGGACGAUCCUUCCAAGAGGUCAUCUCGUGGUCUUACGCGACCUUUCGGAUAAACGAAUAAAGGGUUGUAAGGGACGUACGGCUGAAUGCGUAUACGUGCUUUAUCGACGUCACAGGGACAACCGAUGAUGUUUGUUGAUGGGUAUGACAAUGGUAUUUCAAUAAAUAUUCAUACCAGUUAUUACCGAUUGAAACUUGAAAACUCAAGAUGGGAGACGCAAGACAAUGAAUGGGGUAGUGGAAACAGAUGAAGAACAAAGGAGGCUUCUUCCAGUCGUAUCGGUAUUAUUAAGACGUAGCACAGGGGUUAUUGCGAGCUAGUUGGUUGGUUAGCUCGUUUCGAAGUUGUUGAAGCUCUACUAUUCAGCGAAGCGAACACUGAACGUAACCGAGAAGAUCCGAGCGACUUUAGUCGUUAAGCAAGCCUCCGGGCUACGCGUUCGGAGAUGCCUCCGUUUUCCAGGAAUCCCAUCAACUUUUCCCUACUCAACUUUCCACGCGUAUCCCCCUCUUUUCUCAUUUUCGUUUCUGUGGGUGUGCUUCGAUUAAGUAGAAGAAAAAAAUGAGGAAGGACAAAGAUUAGCAAGUGGAUAAAUUAUUCGUUCAUUGGUUACGAAGAAUAACAGGCUCCUCGUAUUGACAUGGUUUAAUCAAACUUCUCUACUGCGGCUGUUGAAGCUGUCUUUCAGUUGGUUAAAGUAAAAUUAAAAGAAAAAAAAGUCGAAAUCUUGGCUAUUAAGGAAAAUAGAGUUUGUUAGUGUUAAUGACGGGAUUGAAUCAUAUAGGUAUUAGGUACUUGGAGAUACAUCACUGGAUGGCGGAUGGGCGAACGCUUGGGGUGGCAUCCUUUACUGCAGCCUGAAGAGACAGAUGGCUCGAUGGAUGCGCCGCGGGGUGGCGGCCAAGUGAGAAAGGAAGAAAAGAAAGAAGCGAGGCAAGGAUGAAAGUAAAAAAGGGAAGUAGACAGGUCUUUAAGAGGAAAAGAGAAAAACGUGAUACUUGGAGGCUUAGCGCGUCCCAAUUUUCGGGCCAAUAAAUUCCAAUAACGUUCGAUGCCUUUAAAAAGUUCGUACAUCACUGCCUGAAUCUUCUUUCGAUUUAUAUUCGAGGAACUCAACGUACCGAUAACUCUUUUUCCGUUUCUUUCCUCUGCUUCUCUUGCUUCGUCCUUCUCCGUCCAUCCUCCCAGCAUUGCCAUCACAAAGUAUUUUAAGGAUCGUCAAAGAGCCGAUUUCGGCUUGUGGAUAUCUGCAUUUUCCAACGUCAGCAAUUUCGUCUCCCCUAUCGGCCACGAGACCAAAUAAGAACCAAGCAUGAUCCAGGAUACCGAAAAUGGUCGAAAAUAAUGGCUGAAAGUUAAAAUAAGAAAAAAAUGGAAUUUUUAUUGCCUCUACGUAAAUUGUAAUGCUUCUUUUGUUUGUGCCGUUCGUACGCUGAAGUCUCUUUUUUUCACAGGUUAUGUCGUCAGCCUCUUUUGAACAACUGACAAGCGGCAUACGAAGACGUCAAAAACAACGAAGGAAUUGGAUAACUGGGUGCGAUUCGAAAAUGGAGUGAUUUACGAAGAGACACGAAAGUAAAGAAGGUCUCACUGCUAUUGGACAUUUUUUCUUAUUCGAUGAAUUCUUUUGCACAUCCGUCUUGGCUUUGAUCGCAUUCAGUGCUGCGUGAGACGAUUCGACGUAAAACAACCGAGGAUUCGCGUGUCAAAGAACAAGAUCAAUCUGUAGGUGCACGCGACGGCGCCAUAAAGCGAGCAUAACGAGAUUGGAACGUGAGCUCGUUUGAGAGGAAAAUCGUAGCCGUGUUUGAAUAGCUCGCGCAUUUUAAUGAGCGUGUUAUUGUGUUACUGGACAUUUUAUUUGUCACGUUAUUUACAGAAAACGUGCGCCCCGUUUUAUCGAUUGGCUCUUUCGUAGCUGCAGGCAACGGCGCUGAAGCCGAAAUGAUGAUUGAGCUGGAAGCCGGAAGCUGUGCCGUGGCGAAAAUGCGGUGAGGCGACGGGCAAUUUAAGAAGCGUAAGAAAUGGAGGGAGCGGAAGGAACGGAAGGAACAUUCGGGGAAGAUGGAGCAGAAUGAAACGGAAGGAGCGGCGGCGGUGAUCGAGCGGUCGCGACUUAAUGAAACUCUUAAGUGUCGACUAUUAAUAUGGCUUCCGAGUUCCAAGCCGGAAGUUUUCGCGAGCUCGCGAACGGAAUGGAAUUUCCCGUUAUUUGCGCGACAACUGCCAUGCGCUAUUUCAGCAAUUAUAGAGCUAAUAUUGUCAGCCAUAAAUCACGUGGAAAAUGAUCGUUAACGCUCAUUGGUUUAUCAACGCCGUGACGCUUCGCGCGUCCCUUCCAAUUUCCAACAUGCUACCUCGGCACGGACUCACAGGACUCUGGAACACGUCGCUGGAUUUCUCAUGUGGCAAAGGAAUCAUGAAGCCCGUCAAAUAAAUAGACGGAUGCACAGCUAACCGGAUAUCGGCUUCCUUUCAUCUUUCGCAUCUCCUUUUUCCUCUUUUUAUCCACUUUGUCCAAAAAUUCACAUGUUUUACCAAGGACCAGAAUGAAAUAGAGAGACCUUGUCCGUACUCCGGCCUGAGCCACGCCUUCCUGUUAUCAUCCCUCUCCUGAAUACGACCCCUAACGCACAUCAAUGUUCUUUACUUCGGCAUUCUUGACUAUCGUGUCCCAAGUGCCGUGCACGUAAGGAUCCUGGAAUAGAUCAAGGAGAAUCUGAAUAAUGAUGUAUUAAUGCAUG